GUAUCUGCUCAUUUUAUCUGGACGCCUUAUUGUUAAUAGUCUCCUCUGCCCAGGCAGCUGUGCCUGUGACAGCAGAACAACAUGUUCCCGCCAGUACAGCCUGUGGAGUUAUUUCAUGUCCGACAAGAGAUAAAAUCCCUUUGUCACUUGUGUGACUGGUGUGAGCCAUCUGGUAGCAGACAUCCUUUGAGGAGAGUUCGGCUGCAAAAAGGCAUUAAACACUUUGGCCUUCUCAGCAUCUUCUGUUUAUAUCUUUCCUCCCCUCAGAGCAGCAGACCAAAGCUUUCUCAGCCUUCCUCUUACCAGUAGUGCAAUUACAGAAGGAUUUCCUGUUACUCCUUACAGUCACAGCCUUUCUGCUUUUCUCCUCCGAAACACUGUGUUACUUUUACUGUUGCAGCUAUGGUGGUUUUUUUAGCUGCCGUCUUCUGCAUCUGGAUGGGUAGCAGAACCUUCCCCAAUAGCGGCUUGCUUAUCCAGCCUCUGUUCUCCCAGCCUAUUUGUUUCCCUGUGGCUUUACCUAUCACCCUUUGAGGAUGGUGAAAUCUGCUUUUUUGAGUAUCUAUUGCCUCAUACUUUUCCUCUUUUCACAAAAUAGUGAACUCCGCAACUGCAGAAGCAGAAGGCUGCUCCCAUCAUGACCUCUACACUUGUUGAACAGUUAACCCCAUUGUAGUAUUUUUCCAAAUACUUAAAGUACUUCAUUACCAACAAGUCCUUUGGAUGUAGAAAUAUAAAAGCAUUUAGAAAUCAAAAUUAACUUCACAUCAUGCUUUUGUGUGCUCAAACAGUAGCCCACAGAUGUGUUAACAAAUGAAGACAAUAGAAAAAAUUCUUGCUUUUAAGUUUUUAAAAAUGUAAGUCACCCUUGGUACAGUAGACUCAGUUCAAAGAUAAAGGUAAAUACAAAUCUUAGGUCUUUUGUUCUAAUUGAGCAAGCUGUUGGAAAUGUGAAAACUGUACAUAGCUUUUCAAUACAUUUUGUACUUAACUUUUUUUUUUUCCCAAAAAAAAUAUAAUAAUUUAAAUCUCAGCUGCAGCCCAAUGAAACCAAUGAAUAAUUACUUGCAUUCACUGAUGGGUUUUCACUAUGACUGAGGUAUGGAGCAAGAUGCAAUGUAGAAUGUUCAAUCUUUUAUGUUAAAUCUCAGUGAACAAAUUUGGGAGGGAUAAUUUUAUUUCUUGCUUAUAUACAUAAUGCUAUUAUCUUCAUGAUUACCAUGUCAUAUUUUAUUGGUUUUACAAGAAGCAUAGAGUAUUCUUAAAAAACACAACACAUUAUUAAUGACCUUGAAAAGGGAUCUUGUAAAAUGUAGACUAAAAUACCAUUCUAAAGUAAAAAUAACAGUUUCUUGAUGUUGUCUUUAGCUUCUCUGUCUUUCAGAGUAAUUUAUACUGCUUUAAAGUCUUAACAAACAAAUAAGUGUUAUGAUAAACAAUAAAUUACCAAAAUAUUGAUGCA
rnacentral:lncRNA from 1 species